rnacentral:rRNA from 1 species
CACGUAGGGUGCGAGCGUUGUCCGGAAUUAUUGGGCGUAAAGAGCUCGUAGGCGGUGUGUCGCGUCGGCCGUGAAAACCUGCAGCUUAACUGUGGGCUUGCGGUCGAUACGGGCAUCACUGGAGUUCGGCAGGGGAGACUGGAAUUCCCGGUGUAGCGGUGAAAUGCGCAGAUAUCGGGAGGAACACCAGUGGCGAAGGCGGCACUCUGGGCCGGAACUGACGCUGAGGAGCGAAAGCGUGGGGAGCGAACAGG